rnacentral:sRNA from 1 species
UGACCUACGAGCAGGAGUUUUGGAGGG